rnacentral:rRNA from 1 species
UACGUAGGAGGCAAGCGUUGUCCGGAAUCACUGGGCGUAAAGCGCGUGUAGGUGGAAGAGGAAGUCUGCUGUGAAAGCGCCUGGCUUAACCGGGCGAGGUCGGUGGAAACUCCUCAUCUAGAGGUCGGUAGAGGGGGGUGGAAUUCCUGGUGUAGCGGUGAAAUGCGCAGAUAUCAGGAGGAACACCGGUGGCGAAGGCAAUCCCCUGGGCCUGCACUGACGCUCAUGCACGAAAGCGUGGGGAGCAAACAGG